GUACACACCGCCCGUCGCUCCUACUGAUUGAAUGAUCUGGUGAAGUGUUCGGAUUGCGUCGAUGAUUGUGGUUCACCGUCGUCGAUGUCGUGAGAUGUUCAUUGAACCUUAUCAUUUAGAGGAAGGAGAAGUCGUAACAAGGUUACCGUAGGUGAACCUGCAGAAGGAUCA
rnacentral:rRNA from 1 species